rnacentral:hammerhead_ribozyme from 1 species
AUCUAACUGAAGAGUCUCAAAUAGGACGAGACACGCUUCCAAGUGUAU